UACAGAGGUCUCAAGCGUUGUUCGGAUUCAUUGGGCGUAAAGGGUGCGUAGGCGGCGCGGUAAGUCGGGUGUGAAAUCUCGGGGCUUAACUCCGAAACUGCAUUCGAUACUGCCGUGCUUGAGGACUGGAGAGGAGACUGGAAUUUACGGUGUAGCAGUGAAAUGCGUAGAUAUCGUGAGGAAGACCAGUGGCGAAGGCGGAUCUCUGGACAGUUCCUGACGCUGAGGCGCGAAGGCCAGGGGAGCAAACGGG
rnacentral:rRNA from 1 species